CCGCUAUUAUUGGGUCUAAAGGGUCUGUAGCCGGCUUAGUCAGUCUUUUGAGAAAUCUGGCCGCUCAACGGUCAGGCGUUCAGGGGAUACUGCUAAAGCUCGAGACCGGGAGAGGUGAGAGGUACUUCAGGGGUAGGGGUGAAAUCUUGUAAUCCUUGAAGGACCACCAGUGGCGAAGGCGUCUCACCAGAACGGAUCUGACGGCAAGGGACGAAAGCUAGGGGCACGAACCGGAUUAGAUACCCGGGUAGUCCUAGCCGUAAACGAUACUCGCUAGGUGUCGGCCACGGUGCGACCGUGGUCGGUGCCGUAGGGAAGCCGUGAAGCGAGCCACCUGGGAAGUACGGCCGCAAGGCUGAAACUUAAAGGAAUUGGCGGGGGAGCACUACAACGGGUGGAGCUUGCGGUUUAAUUGGAUUCAACGCCGGAAAUCUUACCGGGGCCGACAGCGAUAUGAAGGCCAGGCUAAGGACCUUGCCCGAUUAGCUGAGAGGUGGUGCAUGGCCGUCGUCAGUUCGUACUGUGAAGCAUCCUGUUAAGUCAGGCAACGAGCGAGACCCA
rnacentral:rRNA from 1 species